rnacentral:rRNA from 1 species
AAUCAACGCUGGCGGCGUGCCUAACACAUGCAAGUCGAACGCGAAAGCCCCGCAAGGGGUAAGUAGAGUGGCGCACGGGUGAGUAACACGUGGAUAACCUGCCUUUGAGUGGGGAAUAACCUUCCGAAAGGAGGGCUAAUACCGCAUAACACCUUUAGACAAAAGUCAAAGGGUUAAAAGGAGCAAUUCGCUCAAAGAGGGGUCCGCGCCUGAUUAGCUAGUUGGUGAGGUAACGGCUCACCAAGGCUUCGAUCAGUAGCCGUCCUGAGAGGGAGCACGGCCACACUGGAACUGAGACACGGUCCAGACUCCUACGGGAGGCAGCAGUCGGGAAUUUUGGGCAAUGGGCGAAAGCCUGACCCAGCAACGCCGCGUGAAGGAUGAAAUCCCUCGGGAUGUAAACUUCGCAAGAAUGGGAAGAAUGAACGAGCGCUAAUACCGUUCGUGAUGACGGU